AUAGAUGUCUGAGAAAAUUAAAUUUGAAAAAUUGAUUUAAGUUAGAAGACCUAUUAUUUUGCAAAUUGAUUUAAGUUAGAAAAUUGAUUUGCAAAAUUGAAAAUUAAAUUUGCAAAAUUGUUCAUCGUCCUGUUAUUUUGAUACAGCACCGUGUUUACCUUGUUUACUUGUUACAAUUGAUUAUUGUUUCAAAUUAAUUUGAUCGCUACUGUUCCUCUUAAUCUGUCAAAUUCCAAAUUGUGAAUACUGCUACAGUGCGUGCGUUUUAUUGUUACUACUUUAUUAAUUGUUUCCUGCACCAGUAUAAUGAAAAUAAUGAAUAUUGCUUUAUUUACUAUUAUUAUAAUUAUUAUGGCUGAGUAGUUUAAUUGAGUCCAAAACAAGAGGACCAUCGUUACUAUAAUAUGUAUUCGCCGGUGAUGCGGAAGUAAUGUGUAUGCGUCGGUGAUGCGGAAUUGAAGGUGUUUGUGCAAUCGUGCUGGUCUGCGUUUUUUUUGCCGUUGGGAAAGAUCUGGUUUUUCCACUAUGUUACAGUGAUUAGUGUACUGGUUUUUCUAGGGGUGGUUUGCAAUUUUGUUUAAAUUUCUAAAGCCUAAGCUAUACCAACUAAGGCAUGUGCAGCAGCAUUCAUAGUUCUCCUAAGAUGAACCACACUAGUAUAUGAUUGAAAUUAGAUGCCUUAUAGUAGUAAAUAUAUAUUCUAGAAGUUGGAUUUAGACAACAAAUCCAAACAGUCUUGAAUUACAUGAUCUAAUUCAACUAAAUUUAAUCUUCCAUGGAGGCUGUUCACAACAAGUCCAGCAUCCAACUCAAAAAUAAGCUUACCAUACCUUUGAUCUUUAUCCCACUCUAGACCCCACCUAAGUGUCAUUGAAGUAUGAACUAACAAUGAAUUAGAAUAAAGUCAGGAAAGUUUGAAUAGUAUUAAUUCAAAUAUAUUCAUUUAAGAUUAUGUUGCGUUUUAAAUUUCUGAUGGGUUCAUAUAUCAAAUAUGCAUAGCCCUUUCCUCAUUAAAAAUUCACAAAAACUAGUCUGCUUCUAUUGAUAUGAACUUAGGGAUGGCCAAAGUUUGGUUUUUAACCAAAACUGUAUGUGAACCGAACCAAACUGUAUUUCAAUUCUUUAAAACCGAACUGAACCAUCAACCAUUUAAUUUGAACUGAACCGAACAGUUUUUUAAACUGUUGAAAAAACUGUUGAACCAGUUCUAGAUUAAAAAUAACCAAACAGAACCAUUACUUAACGAAUAUAAAAAGUAAAAGUGGUCCUUGUUUCAGCGAAAACAAAUACAGUACCCUACACCUCAUGUAUAUGAAUCUGGUCUUUGAUUUUUUAAUAUUUUUUUUGAUAAACUGAAGCUGGUCUUUGAUGAUAAAAGGAAAACAAAUACUCUGCCUCGCCGCCAUAGCUUGAGAAGCUAUUAUUUUAUUAUUAUUGUUUAUUUUAUUUUGGUUAAGUGUAUUAUUGGGUGGGGUUAAAUUUUUUUAAUGAAUCGAUGAAAUAGGCCCGUAAGAGUGGAUUGUUUCGUGAUUCCAUGAGUGAGCCACAUACCUGUGAGUGAGGGUGGUUUAUUACUUUCGUUGUAUUGGGGAAGGGGUUGAUGGUGAGUGCUGCAAAAUUUGUGAGUAACAAAUAACCAUGGUGCAGUUUGGUUAACGGGUGAAUUUAAGUACAUGGUUCAGUUAACAAACUGUAAAUAAUAGUUAUGUAGUGUAAAUUAAAAUUGAUCUUUGCAAAUGUGUUUUUUUACGGUGUCCUCGUCAAAGAAAUACUAUUGACUGCGGAUAUUUUAUCAUGAGAUUUAUGAAAGAAGUUAUCAUGGAAUAUCCAAAUAAGAUUCCUGAUAAUUAUUUUUCUCGCCAUAGACAUUCUACAUACUCUAAAGAGAAGCUAGAUGAGGUGAAGGAGGAGUGGGCUACCCAUAUGGUUGAAGAUGUUAUCAAUGAUGCAAAGAGACUGCAAAAAUAAUAGUUGAUCAUUAAUUAGUAGUUUGAGGGCUUCCUUUUUCGAUGAAGUGGGCGGUUCUCAUCAAGUGACAGGUCGCAGAAGAAAGUAGGGCUAUAGUUUGACUAUCUUUUGUAGUGGUUUUUGUGUUUUGUACUAAAAUUUGUCAUUGAUUUUCUCAUUAGAAGCUAUGGCCAAAUUUUGACAAUAUCUCUUUUGUAGUGGUCUUUGUGUUUGCACUAUUCAAUUCAGAUUUGUCUUGUAGUCGGAUUGGUAUUAUUUAUGAAAUGAAUGUAUUACAAGA